rnacentral:rRNA from 1 species
GACGAACGCUGGCGGCGUGGAUUAGGCAUGCAAGUCGGACGGUAGGGCUUUAUCGUAAGAUAGAGUUUGAGAGUGGCGAACGGGUGAGUAACACGUAGGAAUCUACCCUUAAGACGGGGACAACCCAGGGAAACUUGGGCUAAUACCGGAUGUGAGCAACUUUUAGUUGUUUGAAAGGUGGCGUAAGCUGUCGCUUGGGGAUGAGCCUGCGGUCUAUUAGUUAGUUGGUGAGGUAAGAGCUCACCAAGGCGAUGAUAGAUAGGCGGCCUUAACGGGUGGUCGCCCACACUGGGAUUGAGAUACGGCCCAGACUCCUACGGGAGGCAGCAGUCGAGAAUAGUCUACAAUGGCCGGAAGGCUGAUAGUGCGACGCCGCGUGAACGAGGGAGCCCUUCGGGGUGUAAAGUUCUUUUGCUAGGGGAGAAUAAGUGUGGGAGGGAAUGCCUGCACGAUGACAAGGACUAGCGAAUAAAGUCCCGGCCAACUACGUGCCAGCAGCCGCGGUAAGCACGAGAGUA